rnacentral:rRNA from 1 species
CCUACGGGAGGCAGCAGUGGGGAAUCUUGCGCAAUGGGCGAAAGCCUGACGCAGCCAUGCCGCGUGAAUGAUGAAGGUCUUAGGAUUGUAAAAUUCUUUCACCGGGGACGAUAAUGACGGUACCCGGAGAAGAAGCCCCGGCUAACUUCGUGCCAGCAGCCGCGGUAAUACGAAGGGGGCUAGCGUUGCUCGGAAUUACUGGGCGUAAAGGGAGCGUAGGCGGAUAGUUUAGUCAGAGGUGAAAGCCCAGGGCUCAACCUUGGAAUUGCCUUUGAUACUGGCUAUCUUGAGUGUGGGAGAGGUAUGUGGAACUCCGAGUGUAGAGGUGAAAUUCGUAGAUAUUCGGAAGAACACCAGUGGCGAAGGCGACAUACUGGCCCAUUACUGACGCUGAGGCUCGAAAGCGUGGGGAGCAAACAGGAUUAGAUACCCUGGUAGUCCACGCUGUAAACGAUGAGUGCUAGUUGUCGGCAGCAUGCUGUCGGUGACGCNGCUACGACAUAAGUCACGUCCGCCGUCGGGUAGGUACGGUCGCGAGAAGUAAACGUAACGUAAAGUUAAGUUAGUACGGCGUUGAGACGNGCCGACGGACGACGACGAGGGAGGAGG